CCUCUACAGCCCCGAGUGGCAGAGGCCACGCUCAUAUGCAGGCUCGUGCACGCUUGUCCUGCCGGUGACUUGCGUAGCCCGCACAAGUACCCGCUGCUAACUUCCAUCACCCACUUGCCCUUCAGCUCAUCAGUCCAUUUAUCAAUGUGCGUUAUUUAAUGAAAACGAGACGCAUGAUUGCGCACAUUUAAAAUCGGGGGUGCGGCGGACCCUACUUGCUGUGACGAGACGGGACCAGCUUUUCGUGAGAGGACAACCCGGACAAGAGUUGGGACGUUUCUCAAGAAGGGGGGGACCAAGUGGCAAGGGAUGGAUGGCUCCACGUGAGAACUAGAGACAGACAGCAGACGGACAGCAACCUGGUGUUCUCCAUGGAGUCCUCUGGGAGCGGCGCCACCGUCUGCACCGCGGGCAGGUUCCGACUCGUCGCUCCGUUCACAAAGCUGGAGCACACCAGGGCGAGUUUUUUUAGGAACUACAAACUCUCGCAGAAAAUGGCCUUGCUGAUGGCACUGGGUCCAGCAGAGGGCAGACAGGUCACAGCGUUUCACCGGUGGUGUUGAUC